GUCUUCUUGGGUAUGACGCUACAGCCUCUAGUCUUCUUGGGUAUGAUGCUACAGCCUCUAGUCUUCUUGGGUAUGACUCUACAUUCUCCAGUCUUCUUGGGUAUGACGCUACAGCCUCUAGUCUUCUUGGGUAUGACGCUACAGCCUCUAGUCUUCUUGGGUAUGACGCUACAGCCUCUAGUCUUCUUGGGUAUGACGCUACAGCCUCGUGUCUUCCUACUAGGCUACCACAGUAUAUGAUAACUGUAACAAUAGACUACAGAAGACAAGGAGACAUUGUUGGAGUUUUAAAUAAAUACUUUAAUGUUCUGUUAUACCCUGAGGUAAUUUAAUGUCCUGUUAUGCCCUGAGGUAAUUUAAUGUCCUGUUAUGCCCUGAGGUAAUUUAAUGUUCUGGUAUGCCCUGAGGUAAUUUAAUGUUCUGUUAUACCCUGAGGUAAUGAUGUAAUGUUCUGUUAUACCCUGAGGUAAUGUAAUGUUCUGUUAUACCUUGAGGUAAUGUAAUGUUCUGUUAUACCUUGAGAUAAUGAUUUAAUGUGAUGUUAUACCCUGAGGUAAUUUAAUGUUUUGUUAUACCCUGAGAUAAUGAUUUAAUGAUUUAAUGUUCUGUUAUACCCUGAGAUAAUGAUUUAAUGUGAUGUUAUACCCUGAGGUAAUUUACUGUUCUGUUAUACCCUGAGAUAAUGAUUUAAUGUGAUGUUAUACCCUGAGGUAAUUUACUGUUCUGUUAUACCCUGAGAUAAUGAUUUAAUGAUUUAAUGUUCUGUUAUACCCUGAGAUAAUGAUUUAAUGUGAUGUUAUACCCUGAGGUAAUUUACUGUUCUGUUAUACCCUGAGAUAAUGAUUUAAUGUUCUGUUAUACCCUGAGAUAAUGAUUUAAUGUGAUGUUAUACCCUGAGGUAAUUUACUGUUUUGUUAUACCCUGAGAUAAUGAUUUAAUAUUGUAUUAUAAUGAUGAUUUAAUUAUGUAAUGUUCUGUUAUACUCUGAGAUAAUGAUUUCAUGUUCUGUUAUACACUGAGAUAGAGAAUGACAUGAUUUAAUGAUGGACUUGCUUUUUUUUUAAAUGGAUCAUUAUUAAAAGGUAGGUAACAAGACAUACUUGACAGACUAUCGUUACCGG
ensembl:lncRNA